UACGUAGGGGCUAGCGUUAUCCGGAAUUACUGGGCGUAAAGGGUGCGUAGGUGGUUUCUUAAGUCAGAGGUGAAAGGCUACGGCUCAACCGUAGUAAGCCUUUGAAGCUGGGAAACUUGAGUGCAGGAGAGGAGAGUGGAAUUCCUAGUGUAGCGGUGAAAUGCGUAGAUAUUAGGAGGAACACCAGUUGCGAAGGCGGCUCUCUGGACUGUAACUGACACUGAGGCACGAAAGCGUGGGGAGCAAACAGGAUUAGAUACCCUGGUAGUCCCUGA
rnacentral:rRNA from 1 species